rnacentral:rRNA from 1 species
UGGGGGAAUAUUGCACAAUGGGGGGAAACCCUGAUGCAGCGACGCCGCGUGAAGGAAGAAGUAUCUCGGUAUGUAAAGCUCUAUCAGCAGGGAAGAAAAUGACGGUACCUGACUAAGAAGCCCCGGCUAACUACGUGCCAGCAGCCGCGGUAAUACGUAGGGGGCAAGCGUUAUCCGGAUUUACUGGGUGUAAAGGGAGCGUAGACGGUUUAGCAAGCCAGAUGUGAAAACCCGGGGCUCAACCCCGGGACUGCAUUUGGAACUGUUUGACUAGAGUGUCGGAGAGGCAAGUGGAAUUCCUAGUGUAGCGGUGAAAUGCGUAGAUAUUAGGAGGAACACCAGUGGCGAAGGCGGCUUGCUGGACGAUGACUGACGUUGAGGCUCGAAAGCGUGGGGAGCAAACAGGAUUAGAUACCCUGGUAGU